CGUCGGUGGCGUGCUACUACCUUUUCCCUUUCUGUGCAAUGAAAACCCUAGCUCGAAUUUCCAAAAUUCUCGUCUUAAAUCAACUAGUUCUUGCUUAAACCCUGUUGAUCGGGACUCUGGUCCUGACAGAUCCUCUCCCUUCUUCUCCUUCUUCUCAAUCUCCUCUCACCUCUAUCCCUCUUUCUCCCUGGACAGGGACCUCCAUGGCGCUGCCGACCCUCAAUCUCGCCCGAUCCGGCCGCCUCCACGCCAAAUCCGUCGAAAAUGGAUCCACCCUGGCCAGAUCCGCCCGGAUCCGACCUGGCCCCGCCGUCAUUGCCACCGGAGUGCCGCCCCGCUCGACCUGCAGCGCCACCUACAACCGGCAGCCCUUGAAGAACCUCAUCUCUCUGAUUUGCUCCCUAUUUGUUGCGGGAUGGGCAAGAACCAGAUAUAGUAGUUACAACAAAAGGGGUGAAUUUAGAGGAAGAUGCAGCAAGGCAGAGGUAGUAAUCUCAAAAAUGUUCUGAAAUACAGUAGCGUGAACAGGUGUGCUCUUGCAAAAUGUGAGUUGGUAAACCAAGUGUGGCUGCUGCCCACUGAUUCCUUCCUACUCCCCCAAUUUUUCUCACAAAAUGCAUUUUGUGGUAUGAUGCGACUACUACUGAAGAUAUAACGUUUAAGGAUCUGAAUAUUUGAGCAGAGACCUAUCUUCGGACACUUGAUCAGCUUCAUCACCAUGAAACGGUGAAUCUCUAACAAGGGAAUUUCUUUGUCUGCUAUGUCAUGCAUAUUCAAAACCAUGGGGUCAGCAACUCAGCAUAGAAAACUCAGUUAGCCUGCUGGUUAUUUUUCGGUUGCUCGGCUUUUGAACUCCAUAGUUAGAGAAUGAUGGAAGGGAUUUGGACCUUGCUGAAUUAGUUGGAGAUACACCUCUCCAGCCAUCAUUGCUGCUGAUGCCAAGAGGAUUGCUACACGAGACUGGCACUCUGUUUCUCUGCAAUUAUCCUUAUUGACAUUUAUAUGAUGUUGUUUGGGUAGCAACUUUUGAUAUUUCCUGGUCACUGUGGUCAGAGGGAAUAAACAUGGCUCCAAGCAUGUCAAAGUUGCUAUUCUCAGGAUCUUGAUACUGAAAUUGAUGGGCUAUCUUCGAUCUGCUAGAGAGAGAUUUCUUUGCUUCAUUAAUGACUGUUGCUGUGUGCCUUCUGUAGCCAGAAUGAGGGAUUUCAUGUGUUAGGCAAAAGGAUACUUCAAUUUCUUGAGCUUUCUUAAUUCUUGGCUAAAUAUUCAAUCCAUGUUCCCAUAGAGUUUGAUAAAGGCUAAAUUUUGUAUUUACUGUGAGUUUUUUUGCAUAUACAAUUUCUUACUAUUUUUUUGUUACACAUUAAUUUUUCCCCCGUUGCAACGCACGGGCAUAUGUGCUAUAAGAAGUAAUGUUCUCACUUCUAUUUUUUAUGAGCUUCGUUAUCUCAGUCUCAACAACAUCCAGGAGAUGUACUACGUAUUGUUAGUUCAAAAGCUUUCUUUCACAAGUUGGCAACACAAUAUUCAGGAUGUUAAGCAGGUGUUAUAGUUCUAAUUUACUUUCUUCUCAUAACACUUGGUCUCAUAAACAGUAGACUGUAGCCCGAUGUUGCUCACUCCACACUUAUACUUGUUCUGAUUUCUGAUGGCCUCCUAAAUUUGAAUUAUUGUCUUGAUGCCAGGUGGAGGACCUUUGCAAUCUUAUCAAGCUUUAUGCUAAACUGACACACUUACUUGAUCCCAUAUUACUCUUCGAACAAUUUUUGCGCAAAGUUAAGGAAGUUGAGGCCAGUAAUCGUGUUAGAAUAAACUUCUUUCUUCCUUUAAGGGUUUGUUUCCAUACUGUGGGGCAGCAGGAUUUGAGUCCCACUAUGAGGGAUCGACCUUCAGAGAUCAGCUACCGGCGUCAUACUACCCCCACAAGGAUUGCAGAGAGCAUGGACCACCGUAUGGAAGAAGGAGAUGCCAUCCUUGACUAUCGUUGUCUUUGGCGUGUUGCUGCCAUUUUUCUAAUCCUUGCACUUCAGAGUCCUCGGUCUAUCCAUGGUUCAGAGCUGUUACCUGCUACACCUACACACAUUUUUUUUGGAAAAGGAGGCUCACCCCCGGCCUCUGCAUCUGAAAGAUGCAUGCGGCCAUAUUAUUAAAACUUAGCAGUCCAAAAUUAAGCAGGAAACUUUAUUGCCUGUCAUCUAAAAAUUUAGUGACAACUGCUGACACACGAGCUUCGUUUUUUAGUAGAGUUAGUAGAUGACGCAGAUGACAGUUCUACCUCUCUGACUGAAACAAGAACUUUCUGCCCAAGGGCAUACCUGCAAGACAGGGGCAUACCUGCAAGACAACAGGAGGUCCUAAGGCACACAUCACGCAUUCACAAAAGAUCUGGAGCUGAUAUUUUAGAUUAGUACUAGCAUAUUGGUACGUAGUGUGUGUGUUUUAGCAUAUUAGUACUAGCAUACCUGCAGGAGGUCCUAACUUUCUUCAGUUCUAUACAUAUUUGAGUUGGUACAUAGUGUU